CCAGACUCCUACGGGAGGCAGCAGUGGGGAAUAUUGCACAAUGGGGGAAACCCUGAUGCAGCAACGCCGCGUGAGUGAAGAAGUAUUUCGGUAUGUAAAGCUCUAUCAGCAGGGACGAAGAUGACGGUACCUGCAGAAGAAGCCCCGGCUAACUACGUGCCAGCAGCCGCGGUAAUACGUAGGGGGCAAGCGUUAUCCGGAUUUACUGGGUGUAAAGGGCGUGUAAGCGGGGACGCAAGUCAGAUGUGAAAACCACGGGCUCAACCUGUGGCCUGCAUUUGAAACUGUGUUUCUUGAGUACUGGAGAGGCAGACGGAAUUCCUAGUGUAGCGGUGAAAUGCGUAGAUAUUAGGAGGAACACCAGUGGCGAAGGCGGUCUGCUGGACAGCAACUGACGCUGAGGCGCGAAAGCGUGGGGAGCAAACAGGAUUAGAUACCCGCGUACU
rnacentral:rRNA from 1 species